UCCUCAGUAGCUCAAUGGUAGAGUGGUCAGCUGUUAACUCACUGGUCAUAGGUUUGAAUCCUACUUGGGGAG
rnacentral:tRNA from 1 species